rnacentral:rRNA from 1 species
CCAGACUCCUACGGGAGGCCGCCGUGGGGACUCUUUUGCAAUGGGCUCCCGCCUGACCCCGCCCCGCCGCGUGCCUUCCGAAGGCUUUCGUGUUGUAAACUUCUUUUAUGAGGGCCGCCCGAAAUGACGGUCCCUCAUGAAUCCGCCCCGGCUAACUCCGUGCCAGCAGCCGCGGUCAUACGUAGGUGGCCAGCGUUAUCCGGAUUUACUGGGGGUCCCGGGCGUGGCGGCGGGACGGCAAGGCAGAUGUGAAAAGGAUGGGCUCAACCCAUAACCUGCAGGGGAAACGGGAGUGCUUGAGGGAGGGAGAGGCAGGCGGAAUUCCGUGGGGAGCGGUGAAAGGAGGAGAUAUACGGAGGAACACCAGUGGAGAAGGCGGCCUGCGGGAAAUUAACUGACGCGGAGGCGCGAAAGCGGGGGGAGCAAACAGGAUUAGAUACCCGUGUA